UCUAAAACAGUUGAAAUUCGCAUUUAUUGUUGGUAUAAUGUAAAGAUGGUCAUGAAAGACUCCACUGGCUCUGUGGAACUCUUGGUAAAGGAUACGAAGGCAGAAUUCAUCUUACAAUGUGUCCCCUCAUAUCUAAAGAAAUUAAUAUUAAAGGAUAAUGGGGUGCAAAUGCUCAAAGACUAUAUUUCUCAAUCUUAUGAAUGCCCAUAUGUGUUUAUUAUUCCUACUCCAAAAUUUGGAUGCCUUGACCAUUGUGCCCCUGUGGUGACUUCUGUAUUAAAAGUUGAUUAGUCAGAAGAGUGUUGGCACAUUUUCAAAGGAAAGGAGAGGACUGGCAAAGAGACAAUGAGGUCAUCGUGAUAAGAGCUUUGUUAAGACAUUGGAAAUUUCAUAAUGACAUUUUAUUUGUUAGGUUAAGUUUUACAAAAAUAUAUUUGGUUUGACAGUAGUUAAUUUUAAUUACGUGUGUUGGGUGAUUUAUGGAUUUUGGAAAUUUGUGUAAAACUUGAAUAUUAUUUGCACCUCGAUUUGUCCUGCACAUAUACCGAAGUUUAGUUUGUUC